rnacentral:rRNA from 1 species
AGAAUCAACGCUGGCGGCGUGCCUAACACAUGCAAGUCGAACGAGAAAGGGACUUCGGUCCUGAGUACAGUGGCGCACGGGUGAGUAACACGUGACUAACCUACCCUGGAGUGGGGAAUAACUGAGGGAAACCUUAGCUAAUACCGCAUAAUACCUACGGGUCAAAGGAGCAAUUCGCUUCAGGAGGGGGUCGCGGCCGAUUAGCUAGUUGGCGGGGUAAUGGCCCACCAAGGCAAUGAUCGGUAUCCGGCCUGAGAGGGCGCACGGACACACUGGAACUGAAACACGGUCCAGACUCCUACGGGAGGCAGCAGUGGGGAAUUUUGCGCAAUGGGGGAAACCCUGACGCAGCAACGCCGCGUGGAGGAUGAAAUCCCUUGGGAUGUAAACUCCUUUCGAUCGGGACGAUUAUGACGGUACCGGAAGAAGAAGCCCCGGCUAACUUCGUGCCAGCAGCCGC